rnacentral:tRNA from 1 species
AAUAUUAUGCCUGAAAAAGGAAUAAAUUGUAAAUUUAUUUAUAAAGAUAUAAUUCUUUUAAUAUUA